UACAAAGAUCCAAGACAAUUCUGAUGGACCUAUGAUGAAAAAUGUUAUCUAACUCCAGAGAAGGAACUGAUGGAAUCCUAAUGCAGACUAAGCAUUUACAUGAUGGAAGACAACCAUGGGAUCAGCAUAAAAUUUGGUCUGCAGGGUCCGUUUUGUCUUUCGAUCAAUAAUGUGAAUAACACACCUCCUGCCUUUGUUCCCCUGCAAGCUUCGAAGUCUGGAAUUCCCACCCCAACCUGGAAGAACAAAAGGUCAAGAAUAUCAAGGAAUUAGUGAAAAAAAAAAU